rnacentral:rRNA from 1 species
UACGAAGGGAGCUAGCGUUGUUCGGAAUCACUGGGCGUAAAGGGUGCGUAGGCGGGUCUUUAAGUCAGGGGUGAAAUCCUGGAGCUCAACUCCAGAACUGCCCUUUGAUACUGAAGAUCUUGAGUUCGGGAGAGGUGAGUGGAACUGCGAGUGUAGAGGUGAAAUUCGUAGAUAUUCGCAAGAACACCAGUGGCGAAGGCGGCUCACUGGCCCGAUACUGACGCUGAGGCACGAAAGCGUGGGGAAGCGAACGAGGCAUUGA